GACGAACGCUGGCGGCGUGCCUAACACAUGCAAGUCGAACGGAAAGGCCCUGCUUUUGUGGGGUGCUCGUGUGGCGAACGGGUGUGUAACACGUGAGUAACCUGCCCCUGACUUUGGGAUAACUUUAGGAAACUGGGGCUAAUAUCGGAUAGGAGAUCUUGCUGCACGGUGGGGGUUGGAAAGUUUCGGCGGUUGGGGAUGGAAUCGCGGCUUAUCAGCUUCUUGGUGGGGUAGUGGCUUACCAAGGUUUUGACGGGUAGCCGGCCUGAGAGGGUGACCGGCCACAUUGGGACUGAGAUACGGCCCAGACGCCUACGGGAGGCAGCGGUGGGGAAUAUUGCACAAUGGGCGGGAGCCUGAUGCAGCGGCGCCGCGUGCGGGAUAACGGCCUUCGGGUUGUAAACCGCUUUCGCCUGUGACGAAGCGUGAGUGACGGUAAUGGGUAAAGAAGCACCGGCUAACUACGUG
rnacentral:rRNA from 1 species